UACGUAGGGUGCAAGCGUUAAUCGGAAUUACUGGGCGUAAAGCGUGCGCAGGCGGUGAUGUAAGACAGUUGUGAAAUCCCCGGGCUCAACCUGGGAACUGCAUCUGUGACUGCAUCGCUGGAGUGCGGCAGAGGGGGGUGGAAUUCCGCGUGUAGCAGUGAAAUGCGUAGAGUAUGCGGAGGAACACCGAUGGGCGAAGG
rnacentral:rRNA from 1 species